rnacentral:tRNA from 2 species
UGGGCUUCUCGUCCGGUGCGGAGACUUCCGCUUCCGGUGCGGAGGCUUCCGCUUCCGGCGUGGAGGCUUCCGCUUCUGGUGCGAGGGGCUCGUCC